CCAUGCAGUAUAUAAUGGGGAGGUCUUUUUGGAUGAGAUCUUGAAAAACUGGCUGCUCUGCGUGGAUAUUAAAGCUCUCCUGGCCCUUUUUGUAAGGGCCUGUGUUUGCCACAGUGUCCUUAGGCAAAAUUUCCCCUUCUCCCUCGAGGGUAUGUUAUGCUGAACACAACUGUCUGCCUCGCUUAGUGCCGCCAGCUGUCUGCUGGAUGGGUGGUUCAUCUUAGCAGUCACUCAAGAGAUCCCAGAAUUUACUCUGCUUCCCAGACCCCUUUCUGUUGCAGUUUUAGUAGGACAAAAUGGCCCUUCCCUUGUAGAGUUCCAGUGCCAAGGAGUGCUGCUGGGCCCAGAUGGAUCACAUACUCUUGAGAAUUGAAACAGCUGGUACAAUUAUUUGACUCCAAAAGGUAUGUCAGCUUCAAGGGCGAUGAGUCUUACUGGGAAUGUCCCCAUUUUGCAGGACUGCAACACCCUGCUAAGCAUUCACCAGAGCACUUUACCAAACCAACCCUGUUAAUAAAUGGAAGCCUAUUGACUCCCAACUGGGACCAUCUGCCAGUGAGAGAAUGUAAAUUGACUCUGAAUUGGGACCACCUGUGAGCGACUGCCUUUUGCUGAUGUGAUCGCCUGAGUGCGUUCCUGCUGAUGGCAGGCUGAGGCCAUCUGGUGAGGUUUGGGGAGUGUGUAGAUGUUAAACUGAGCUGGUGAGGCCUUAGCUCCUUGAACACAAACGGCCGAGGUUCUGCCACCUUGUCCAGUGUGUUUAUCGAGAGCUUUACUAAACAAAGCCCAGGAGUGAGUGGAUUCCUAUUGAUUGCUGCUUGGGAUCCUUGGGUGAGUUUCUGUAACUGUCGCUAUGUAAAACUGAGUUGGUGUGGCCAUAAUAAUAAUACCACCACCUAGCUCUUGUGUAGUGCUAAUCACAGACCUGGAAUCUCAGAGGAGCCAAAAAAUACCCACCAGCAGUGAACCGUAGCUGAGCUGGUAAACGAUGGGGGAACGGCAAGGAGCUUAAGGCAGUUUGGACAAAGUGCGGGACUUGCAAUGUUCUGUACAGCCCUGAAGCAGGAGGUUCCUGGCAGAGGACACUUGUCGAUCCAUCCCAAGCUGAACUUGUUGACCUGAUGCUCCUCUGUGGACUCAGGCUUUAACUUGAGUGAGAUACAAGAUGACACUUUCCAUGCUCCAGCUCCUCUCCUGUCCUCACUUGCUCACCAGCCAGCGGCAGGCAGCGUCCGUGUCUAGCGGGCCUAACAGCAGCAGAGGUAUGGCUUGGCGUAACUACCCAUCCUUGGUUCCAGCAGGCCCCAUAGCAGCUGACGUGUCGCCCAGCUGUCUGCAGAGGGUGUUCCAGCAACAGGCCUGACACACUAAUGCACUAAUUACCCAGUAAUAAUAGAAACAAAGGCCAGGACAAGCAGUGCACAAGAACCGGAAGACAAGUCUGGCUGGACUCACUCAGCCCUCCCAAAACAAAUCCAAAGAAAAAACAUCAGUAGGUAAUUUAUCACUUAAAAACCACAUACGGCUCUUACUAGCCCUAACCCACCUCGGGCAUGGCUCAGAGC